GACGAACGCUGGCGGCGUGCUUAACACAUGCAAGUCGAACGGAAAGGCCCUGCUUUUGUGGGGUGCUCGAGUGGCGAACGGGUGAGUAACACGUGAGUAACCUGCCCUUGACUUUGGGAUAACUUCAGGAAACUGGGGCUAAUACCGGAUAGGAGCUCCUGCUGCAUGGUGGGGGUUGGAAAGUUUCGGCGGUUGGGGAUGGACUCGCGGCUUAUCAGCUUGUUGGUGGGGUAGUGGCUUACCAAGGCUUUGACGGGUAGCCGGCCUGAGAGGGUGACCGGCCACAUUGGGACUGAGAUACGGCCCGGACUCCUAAGGGAGGCAGCAGUGGGGAAUAUUGCACAAUGGGCGGAAGCCUGAUGCAGCAACGCCGCGUGCGGGAUGACGGCCUUCGGGUUGUAAACCGCUUUCGCCUGUGACGAAGCGUGAGUGACGGUAAUGGGUAAAGAAGCACCGGCUAACUCCGUG
rnacentral:rRNA from 1 species